CAGUUCUUGCAGCUGUCCGAGUUGUAAUUUAGAGAAGUGCUAUCCGCGCUGGACCGUGUACAAGUCUCCUGGAACGGAGCGUCAUAGAGGGUGAGAAUCCCGUACAUGGCACGGACUACCUGUGCAUUGUGAUGCGCUCUCAAAGAGUCGAGUUGUUUGGGAAUGCAGCUCAAAAUGGGUGGUAAAUUCCAUCUAAAGCUAAAUACAGGCGAGAGACCGAUAGCGAACAAGUACCGUGAGGGAAAGAUGAAAAGAACUUUGGAAAGAGAGUUAAACAGUACGUGAAAUUGUUGAAAGGGAAACGCUUGAAGUCAGUCGCGUCGUUCAGGGAUCAGCCUUGCUCUGCUUGGUGUACUUCCUGUCCGACGGGUCAGCAUCAGUUUUGACCGUUGGAAAAAGUUCUCAGGAAUGUGACAUCUUCGGAUGUGUUAUAGCCUGAGUCCGUAUACAGCGGUUGGGACUGAGGACUCAGCACUAGAUGCUUGGGAUGCUGGCAUAAUGGCUUUAAGCGACCCGUCUUGAAACACGGACCAAGGAGUCUAACAUGCCCGCGAGUGUUUGGGUGGAAAACCCGAGCGCGCAAUGAAAGUGAAAAGUUGGGAUCUCUGUCGUGGAGAGC
rnacentral:rRNA from 1 species